GGCCUCCCAAAGCUUAUCACAGGCUGUGUUCUUUACACUGACUGUAUAGAAAGAGGAGGUACAGUAAAUGCUCCCCAUAUACACCUCAACCCAGGCGCUUUGACUGGUCUGUACUGUGAAUGGAGGCACAAAA